UACGUAGGGCGCAAGCGUUAUCCGGAAUUAUUGGGCGUAAAGAGCUCGUAGGCGGUUUGUCGCGUCUGCCGUGAAAACCCGAGGCUUAACCUCGGGCUGGCGGUGGAUACGGGCAGACUAGAGGUAGGUAGGGGAGAAUGGAAUUCCCGGUGUAGCGGUGAAAUGCGCAGAUAUCGGGAGGAACACCGGUGGCGAAGGCGGGACUCUGGGCCGAUACUGACGCUGAGGAGCGAAAGCGUGGGGAGCAAACAGG
rnacentral:rRNA from 1 species